UACGUAGGGGCCUAGCGUUGUCCGGAUUUAUUGGGCGUAAAGAGCUCGUAGGCGGUUCGGCAAGUCAGGUGUGAAAUCUCCGCGCUCAACGCGGAGGAGCCACCUGAUACUGCCGUGACUUGAGUCCGGUAGGGGAGUGCGGAAUUCCUGGUGUAGCGGUGAAAUGCGUUGAUAUCAGGAGGAACACCGGCGGCGAAGGCGACGCUCUGGUCCAUUUCUGACGCUGAGGUGCGAAAGCCAGGGGAGCAAACGGG
rnacentral:rRNA from 1 species